AACGAACGCUGGCGGCAUGCCUAACACAUGCAAGUCGAACGAGACCUUCGGGUCUAGUGGCGCACGGGUGCGUAACGCGUGGGAAUCUGCCCCUCGGUUCGGAAUAACAGUGAGAAAUUACUGCUAAUACCGGAUAAUGACUUCGGUCCAAAGAUUUAUCGCCGAGGGAUGAGCCCGCGUAGGAUUAGGUAGUUGGUGGGGUAAUGGCCUACCAAGCCGACGAUCCUUAGCUGGUCUGAGAGGAUGAUCAGCCACACUGGGACUGAGACACGGCCCAGACUCCUACGGGAGGCAGCAGUGGGGAAUAUUGGACAAUGGGCGAAAGCCUGAUCCAGCAAUGCCGCGUGAGUGAUGAAGGCCUUAGGGUUGUAAAGCUCUUUUACCAGGGAUGAUAAUGACAGUACCUGGAGAAUAAGCUCCGGCUAACUCCGUGCCAGCAGCCGCGGUAA
rnacentral:rRNA from 1 species